rnacentral:misc_RNA from 1 species
AACGCACAUUGCGCCUCUUGGUAUUCCUUGAGGCAUGCCUGUUCGAGCGUCGUUUAGACCAUAAGGCUUUGCCUUGCGUUGAGUUAUUGGGUUUAUACCCAAUACUCCAAACAAAUUGGCAUCUGAUUUAGCUAAAAGCACAGCGAUAUGUGAUAUUUACCUAGAGAAAGAUUGCCAGUUACUUAUAACGGUCGACCUCGGAUCAAGCAAGACUACCCGCUGAACUUAA